rnacentral:rRNA from 1 species
UGGGCCCACGGGACACAGCAGUGGGGAAUAUUGGGCAAUGGGCGCAAGCCUGACCCAGCAACGCCGCGUGAAGGAAGAAGGCUUUCGGGUUGUAAACUUCUUUUGUCAGGGACGAAGCAAGUGACGGUACCUGACGAAUAAGCCACGGCUAACUACGUGCCAGCAGCCGCGGUAAUACGUAGGUGGCAAGCGUUAUCCGGAUUUAUUGGGUGUAAAGGGCGUGUAGGCGGGAAUGCAAGUCAGAUGUGAAAACUAU